CAUAGGAAGGCAGACAGGCAGCCUGGGCACACCCGCAGUUUUGUCCCUGGGCUCCGGGAGGGUGUCAGUUCUGAGAAUCCUCUCAUAAGGCAGUCAUUAAAGGUCACCCUGUCAGAAGAUUCUAGUACUGACACCAGCAGCUGCAGGUAGUAACUUUCUUCAAGGAGGGGUGACUUUCUUAUCCGGGUUUCCAGUAUACUAAAAUUAGUGGGGACAUUUAUCAGUGAGAUCUGGAAGUGGUUACUCACAUUACUGUCCUUGCCCGCCGGGAAACCACCACGUAAACCACAACUGUUAGCACGUAACUCCAUGGUCACUGUGGGUACAAGCCUUGUGCUUCCCUGGUGGCCUGGAUCCUGGGUUCUCUUGCUUUCCUUCAAUAAUCAAGUAUUUUGUUUCUUUUCUCAUGACUGGCUGGACCUCUGUUAGAAAAACGGCGCGUGCUCAGAGUGAGGUAUCCUCUACAGGACCUCCUUGCGGCAGGACUUUAAGGACACUCCACAGCCAUGGUGCCUACGUUGCAGCUGCCUUCUCCACAAGCCUAGGUGUGGUCUGGUUGGCAGAGUAAUAAAACAAUGCCUCUGAGCAUCGAGGAAUUCCCCGAGAGGUGUUCCCUGGAGUCAACCUCAAGGUCUUCCCUCCAACUCGACAGCUAAGCAUCAGCUGUACCCCAGGAACCAAGAAGCCAUGUGAGGAAGUAAGGACUUUGUGGAAGCAAGGCUCUCUGUGAUGUCCUCCACUGCCCUGAAAUGCAAUGGAAUGAUAUAAAGAGAUGGCAGUUGUGAGAUCUUAUGUCGCUGAGAGGAGAACCAAGUGCUUGUUUUCGGCAUGUCCAUCAGCAUAAGGAAUCAUCCAGCCUUCAGCAGCAGCAGCUACAAUAUUUGGGAAGAAAUUAACCAUCCUGAUUCUUGGAUGUGGGUAAGCAUUCCUGGGGCUUCUUAUAAAUGACUGGCACGGGGUUCUAUUGGACAUGCUCUCCUACCUAUAGAGGUUAAUGGAGGAGGGGGGUCUAUCAGUAUUCCAUUACAAAAAGAUGAAUUCUCAGUGAGAACACCUAAUAAUCAUACUAAUAUUCUCUGUAUCCAGCAUGGAGAGACUUUGGUUUGUAUGCGGCCAAAUCUUAAAUAAAUGGCAACGAAGCAGCCAUAUCGAUGGGGAGGCAUCAAGGACUAUUUUGAUCCUUUGGAGCAUCUUACAUCUCACCAGCUGCGCACCCACAAUCCUACUUAAACCUUCAGUCAUACUACCUGGCCCUGGGUAGCUCAUUUAGAUGCGUUCAAGGGAAAUCCCUGUUAUCCCUCAAGACACCACAUGUCCCUCUGGAGAAGGAAUGGAGACAGUGAGGACAAGUUCUCCAUAAUAAAACAAUAAAUAAUAAAAUGGGGAACUUAGCCAUAGCUGCAGAUUUUAAUAGACCCCUCUGUUAUCCAAGGAACAGUGGGGAAAUUGUUCAUCUACACAAAAUCUCAUCCUGAUGGAAAUGUUCUGACUGCAAAGUCAGUGUCAGCUUUGAUUUCCUGCCCCAGCAAAGGCUUGCUCAAAAGGCACACAGUGGGCCUGUGCCGUCAGAGGACUAAGUUGGUCACACUUCAUCUUUGUCUAGUGGUCAACCCAACCCAGUGCACCCUAGCCUUAGGGCUGCUUAGUGUGCUCCAUCUCCUCUCGGAAUCGAGGAGAACUGUGGCAGAAUUGCAGUCCAAGCAGGCCUAAGGGUAAGUGCCCUAAUAUUUUAUCGCUUCCUUCGACUUCAGAGAGGCUCUGGAUUUGUGGGAGGUUGAGGGGUCACUGGCCAGAGGACUAGCAGAACUCGGUCAUUCCAGGUUCGCUUAAAGGAGAGUCAAACUGAAAUAACCUCAAAAAGGUGCCAGCCAGGAGAACCAGUUGCUGUCUCAGAGCUAAUUUUAAGAAUGCCCUUGUCUCUUGACAUUUCAUCGGCAUGACUCAUGGGACUACAGGCCAACAUUCUGAAGCUCUGAAUAAUACAGGGCUCUGGGAGCCAGAACUCAAUGGGAGUUUUUCCUAAAUAAAGCCUAGGAGCCCAGCCUGCUGUGAUACAUGCAUGAGAAUUUUGCUAAUUCAGCAGACUCCACACCCUCGCACCCCUGAUGUUCACACCACUGUCCACAUGUUCUUGGGACUGUGGGACAAGUCUUCUUCUACCCUUGCCUGUUUUCAUUCAAACCUUCAGUUAGUUUCUUGCCAUCAUUUUCUCAUUUUUUAUUUGUCUCUUAUUCUUCAAGGCUAUCAAAUUUGUCUAAGUGAAAUAUGAUCCUACACACCUCAUUCCUUCCCUCCAACUUCUCCUAUAUCCUCCCAAAUAUCUCUUGAAAAUAAUUUCAUGUCUUAGAAAACACAAUGCACUGAGUCCAAUUGGUAUACCCAUAUGAACAUGGGUCAGGGGCACGUUACCCACCAUUCCUGCCACCACAUAGAUAAAAACUCCAAGAUGUCAGCCAAUGUUUAAAGGGCAACAUAGCAAAAUCAAGAGGUGAAAGUAGACAAGAAGUCAGGACCUACUCAUGUAGGUGCUGUCAUUGUUGCAAGUGUCCUAAGGUCAGAAAAAAAAAAGAUGAACUUGGCAUUCAAUGGUUUAAACUUAAGGAGUUGCAUGGGGGCCCAUUCACUUCUGAGUGGAAAGGCCUAUGGAAAGGAAUUUCCAAAGGUGUGUGCCACAGUACACUGGAUGUAUUCUGGAAUCCUGUUAGGAGCUACAGUGGCUGGCUCUAUGCUCCGUUUGCUUGAGGUCUGUGUCUCUGUCAGUGACCUUGUCCUCCCUCUUCGUCUGCCAUGUUUCCCUGUGUCCUAAUUCCUCACAUACUUUCUCUCCAUAUCUCUAUAUUCUACAUCCCUGUACUACCAUUAUUCUUUCUUAUUUUCAUUUGCACAUGAUUCAGUGGUCAUUCCUGUAUUGAAUUGAUCUCACCCACUUUCAGCUCAGCUUCUAAAACUAACUGAUCACAAUUUUUGCAGCUAGAACAACUCUAGGAAAGGAUCAAAUUUGGUUCAGAUAACAUUCCGGAGCCUCUCCACAUAAAUUAAUCUGUUAUCCACCCAUGGUCACAGCCUCUCUGUGGCAGGUGGCCAAGAUUUAUCCAAUCCUCUAUGACCACAGACAUAGGAAGUCUAUCACAUAGCCUGUCUGAAGGGAGGAGACACAGACUCGAGUCUUGACUUAUGAGACUUAGAAUUUGGUCUGUUUCUUACACCUCUGAGCGCUGUGUUCCUUGUCUGUGAAAAGAGAGUGGUGAGAACAGCCUAAUGAGAUUAUUGAAAUGAUGUGGUAAAUAUAUAGCUAGUAAAUUGAUGGCAAAAGCCAAAUGGGUUAUUGCUAUUACCCAUUGGCAUCCUUUCAGGAGAAUCCAAAUGCCAGGCAUCUGUAACUUGUUCUGACCUAUGAGCCUUUGCACUUCCUCUCUGCUGUCUUUCUCCCUUGGGAAGUUUUUUUCUCUCCUUUUGAUAAUUUCUUCCUUGUUAUCAUCACCAUGAACCCAUGUCCAUGCUCCAGGAUUUCACAAUAGGAUGCUUUGGAGUCACUGUUUUCCAUUCAGAAGUGACUUGCAUGCUUUGCUCUGCUGUUAUCAAUUAUGAUAAAGAAGGGGAGGGAAGGGUGUAGCUUACUGUGCUGAAUAGUGCUGUGAUGUGUGCUUGGUAAAAUUGCUCCGGCAAAGGAAGUGGGUGAUGAUGACAUUGCUAGCUUUUAUAGCUUCAAUAUGAAGUUUUCUGGUAUUAUUUGGCAGAAAAAAAAGUCCUGAAAUGUCCCUUAAGAAGCCCAGGACAAGUUGAAAGUCAACUAAAGAAUGCGGAUAUGUAUUUAAUAAAAAGCGAAAAUUGCUCCAGAUGCCAGAAAUUGUUAUAAACAAAUGCUUUGCCAAACACACCCGUCUGUGUGCACUUCGAGGUCUCUGACCGGAGAGCUGAGUGGGUGAGAAGUCUGAGAGUCAGAGUGUACUGAUGGGGGAAGUAUACUGCUGCAGCCUCAGGGUCUGAGAAUAAAGAACUGUAAAAGAGGUAGAAGUCAACAAACAGAGCCCAAGUCCUGACAAAACUGUGGUGAAGGCUAGCCUCCUCCAGGGGAGAGCAGGAAGGUACUCGAUGAAAAAGUCAGCAGUAAAAAUAUGGUCAUUCCAAAACUUCAGCCAAAAUAAUGCCAAACAUAAGACUAGUUUCAGGGGUUUGUGCCCUGUGUAGUUACAUGGGAUCACAGUAUCAGAAGAUUCUAUAAAGGCUCCUAUAAAGGUUUACUAUUGUCACUUUGGAAUUCUUAACCAUUUUUUCAAUAACAAACUCUACAUUUUGAUUUUUCACUGGGCCUUAGAAAUCAUUAUUACCACUAUCGGCUGAUGAGAAUUUAAUCAAGGAAUUCUUAAAGCCAGAAGGAAGAUUGAAGAGAAGAUGGUGAACAGAUUCCUCCUGGUUAUAAAAGAAGAAAAGCAGGGGUAGCCAUCCAGUGACAUUAAAACCAAACUGAAUCAGACAGAGGUCAGUGACCCAUUGCUAACGGGCCAGGACUGGGGCAGUAGCCACCAUGAGGGCUGUGGACUGAAUGGUAUUCAAGGGGAUGUGCUCCACAGAGUAGGGCCCUUUGGAGAGGCGUUCUUGUAACAGGUGUCAAUAACGGAAUCUUCUGGGCCUCAAGGGAAGGGAGUGUUACCUGGGCAUAACCAAACACCACUGGGCAAAGAGCAGUCACAGUGUGGUGAAGAUGGAGAGGCAGUCCUAGAUAGAGCUAAGUAUAGCUUUUAACUCUGCCAUACACAGGGAUUGGGGAUUAAGGAUCCUGACUCUCUGAGCCUUAGCUCCCUUGAUGAACAGGGAAAGAAAUCUAGUCACGAGAUUGAUCUUUGAAUGAGGUAUAGCGUACACAGUUCCUCCUACUUUGCCUGAUGCACGAGAAUACUUAAAUUUCUCUUGUAACUUAAUAUUGACUUAUUGAGAACUAGAUUUUAUACUGAGAACUAGAGUGAAGAAAAGUAUGAACUAGGGGUGUGGAAUAGCCCUCUGCUUGCUAUGAAAGCACAGGGACCUGAGUUUGAACCCUAGAGCCCACAUAUAAAACACCAAACAUUGAGAAACAGCUCAUAAUCCUAGCACUGGAGACAUGGGGCAAAUGGAUUUCUGGGGCUCAUUGGCAAGCCAGACUCCCCUACUUGAAAGCUUCUAGACCAACAAGAGAAUAAAAAAGAUAGCAUCUAAUAAGCAACAC
rnacentral:sRNA from 1 species